UUACCGUCUACGGAUGCUAAAUCCGAAGCGCCGACAACAACAGACUCGGACGGACAAAAAACAUACUUGACCACUGCUUCACUUGAAAUAGCGACGCGAAUUUUUCCACUUUUGGAAGAUGAGCUCUUGAUAUUCUCAUCUCAGUCGUACGAAUCAAUGCGCCUCAUCAUUGCGCCUAUCCGAAACUGUCUCUCCAAGAGCGUUGUCGAUUCAAAGAGUCUGCACCUUGUUAACGAAAGCUUGAGAAAGCUUUCCCAAAGCACUAAAGACAACGACGUUAAAGUUUUUCCCAACACUCGCCAGAGCGUCACCAAAAGGAGGGAAUUGUAUUCACAAAUGUGGACUGAAUUACAAAUGCUGGCUUCGAAGUAUUCCAACAUAUCUCCAUUGCACUCUCACGUGGCAGAAAAUAUCUAUUUUAGUGUUCCAUCGGAAUAUCUGUCAAAACUUCAUGGAAAUAAUAGUCAAGUCCCGCCAGACUCAAACAAAAGCGAUACUCAAAACUCUCCUCUACAAAGCCAUUCCAUGUCUAGUGGUACCGACUGCGUUGCCAAUGCCUCUAAAAACAGCCUAUCAGACCUCGAAUCUAAAAAAGCACAAACGGAACAACCUGCCACUCAUAGCGCAGUCAAAUCCGACCCCGGUUGCCGAUUUGAUCUAUCUUGGUCCGGGCUAGCCAUGGCGAAUCCAAAUGUCCCAAUUCUACCUGACGACGUCGACCCCAAUUCUCUGUAUGCUACUUAUUGGAAUUCCGCUAUCGAAUAGAGGCUUCUCAGUUUACCUGAAUUGCUGGUAAGCGAAAACAAAGUCUCUAAAAAUAUAGUCAAUACAGAGACAUCUGAUUCUGCACUCUCAAGUCCCUCAACCAGAAGAUAUGGCACAUAUCGCAUAACACACGUCUCUCCAAUGACGACAUUCUGUAAUUUUCAAUAGUAUCCUCGGACACUUUGGUCUAUUGAAUAGGAGGAGAAAAACCGAUCUCUGUCUUUCAGAAAGGUCUUGAGAUCUCGUUUACGACGAUAGCAUACCCUGUACAUUCAAUUCUCAUGUUCGAAGCCGAAGUCAAAAAAUUAGGCUUGAGCUCUCUGGAAUUGGCAAGAAUUGUCUGUUUUGAAACUCCCCAAACCUUAAAAAUCAAGCAAUUGUCCGUUUCGAUUACGAAUUCCAGGGUUCUCGGAUAUGGUAUGUACUCAGCAUAUCAUUUAAAAGCUGGCACAUCAGCGUUUCUAAGGGAGUGUACCGUUUUUCAAAUUUUGUACCGAACAAGUCCUCAAAAAAUCAAUCAAGACCUCUCCAUUUGUAAAUUCCAACUGUUCCGGGAUAUUCUGCAUACUGAUUAUUAGAGACGAAGAAGAUACAUGUGCUGUAUAUUGCUGGGAUGAAGA